rnacentral:lncRNA from 1 species
CUACGGUAAUAGAAACUUCAUUUUGCGAUGUCAUCUCUCGUUCUUCCAUGUCUCUCAUCUUGUGCUCGAUCCACCUCCACCUAGAGCUCCACUUCGCACUGGACUUCCCUUGGCUCCUGAAGCUUUACCUCACAUUGGGCUCCCUGUUAGGUAAUAAUAUCCUCUUCUUCUUCUUCAAUAUCACCCUAUCGCUACUCAUAACCUUCAGGAUUUCAUUACCAGCUACCCACCUGUAGUCAUUUGAAUCUAGUCUGCUCAGUGAGAUAAGAUUCCGUCUGAAAUUGGAUAUGUAUCGAACCUCAUCCAAUCUUCUUAUUACAUCAUCAUGUGUCCUCUAGCUGACCAUUCUGAUACCUCUGAUCGCACAGCUCGAUCCAUCCAUCAGAUAAAUAAUGCCCUCACUGCUCUCCAUAGAGUCAAACAGCUCUUCUCUGUAACAUACAUGAUGGGUGCAUGCAGAAUAGAAAGUUUACUAUUGAAAAAAAGUAGAUACCUCAUCAGAUAUCAACAGGACAUCAUCCUCUGACUCGCUAUUGGCCAUCAUUGCAGUAGCCCUUGUCUGAUCUCUGAGUAGAUGGCAAUCUCUGACAUAAUUUUCCAACUCAUCACACCGAUAGUACCUGAUCUUGUUGGGAUCCCUCAUCUUGG